GACGAACGCUGGCGGCGUGCUUAACACAUGCAAGUCGAACGGUAAGGCCCUUCGGGGUACACGAGUGGCGAACGGGUGAGUAACACGUGGGUGAUCUGCCCUGCACUUCGGGAUAAGCCUGGGAAACUGGGUCUAAUACCGGAUAGGACUCCUGGCUUCAUGGUUGGGGGUGGAAAGCUUUUGCGGUGUGGGAUGGGCCCGCGGCCUAUCAGCUUGUUGGUGGGGUAAUGGCCUACCAAGGCGACGACGGGUCGCCGGCCUGAGAGGGUGACCGGUCACACUGGGACUGAGAUACGGCCCAGACUCCUACGGGAGGCAGCGGUGGGGAAUAUUGCACAAUGGGCGCAAGCCUGAUGCAGCGACGCCGCGUGAGGGAUGACGGCAUUCGGGUUGUAAACCUCUUUCAGCUAUGACGAAGCGCAAGUGACGGUAGUAGCAGAAGAAGGACCGGCCAACUACGUGCCAGCAGCCGCCGCCG
rnacentral:rRNA from 1 species